CCCUUCGACGUCUGGGGCCGCACGCGUGCUACACUGAGUGGAUCAGCGGGUCAGGUUGCGCGAAAGCGUUUCCUAAUCUUUAAAUCCGCUCGUGAUGGGGAUUGACGGUUGCAAUUUUCUGUCAUGAACGAGGAAUACCUUGUAAGCGCGGGUCAUCAUCCCGCGCUGAAUACGUCCCUGCCCUUUGUACACACCGCCCGUCGCUCCUACCGAUUGAGUGGUCCGGUGAGGCUUUGGGAUCUGAGCGGAAAGAGCGUUUCGCUGUUUCUGCUCGGAAAACUCAGUCGAACCUUAUCAUUUAGAGGAAGGAGAAGUCGUAACA
rnacentral:rRNA from 1 species